AUUGAACGCUGGCGGCAGGCCUAACACAUGCAAGUCGAACGAGUGGCGGACGGGUGAGUAAUGUCUGGGAAACUGCCCGCUGGAGGGGGAUAACUACUGGAAACGGUAGCUAAUACCGCAUACCAUCGGAUGUGCCCAGAUGGGAUUGGCUAGUAGGUGGGGUAACGGCGCACCUAGGCGACGAUCCCUAGGUGGUCUGAGAGGAUGACCGGCCACACUGGAACUGAGAAACGGUCCAGACGCCUACGGGAGGCAGCAGUGGGGAAUAUGGGACAAUGGGCGCAAGCCUGAUGCAGCAAUGCCGCGUGUAGGAAGAAGGCUUUCGGGUUGUAAAGUACUUUCAGCGAGGGGGCGUUACUCGCAGAAGAAGCACCGGCUAACUCCGUGCCAGCAGCCGCGGUAAUUC
rnacentral:rRNA from 1 species